UACGAAGGGGGCUAGCGUUGUUCGGAAUUACUGGGCGUAAAGGGCGCGUAGGCGGCUUCUCAAGCGUGUGGUGAAAGUCCGGGGCUCAACCCCGGAUCGGCCGUGCGGACUGGGGAGCUCGAGUUCUGUAGAGGCGGGUGGAAUUCCGGGUGUAGCGGUGGAAUGCGUAGAGAUCCGGAAGAACACCGGUGGCGAAGGCGGCCCGCUGGGCAGAGACUGACGCUGAGGCGCGACAGCGUGGGGAGCAAACAGG
rnacentral:rRNA from 1 species